GAUCUGGGUAUGUUAAGAGUAGAUUGGUACAUUCCACAAGUCGACCCCAGAAAUAGAUGAGUCGACCCUCGAACAGUAUUAGGUGAAAGAUAGUAAGCAUGCAAAAAUGACCUUUCGAAGAGCUAACCCAAGAGCUUCAUGAGUUGAUCGUAGUUAAGGAUGAGUCAACACCAGUCCCAGAAGAGUUGACCGUACGAUUGUCUCAGGGAG
rnacentral:lncRNA from 1 species